CGCAAAUGGGAACCCAUAAGCUGUAAAGUUAAAGACAAGUCGACUUCCGUUGUCAUUUGCUGCUCCGAGUGCAAAUGAGCCAUUCAGCCCUUCCAUGGAGCCCAUCACGGACCACCUUUCUGCAUGGAAGGUUCGCAAUAGCCUCCUUUCCCACAAGCAAGACCACACACGUUUACAGAUUUGGAUUCGUCGAAGCCAUGCUUGUCUCACUGAUGCUUUCUCCUACAGCCUGCUCCUGUCUUGGUUUUUCGCACAAAACAAGAAAGG